GGCUCAGUUGUGUAAUGGAAAGUAAAGCCCUGAGCUAUCACACCUUUACCUUCCUUCAAAGGGUAGUAAACUAUUCCUCCUGUCUCUCAAGAGAACACAAAAAGCGCUUUAAGAGGUAUUUUAAAAGUUCCGGGGAUUUUGUGAAGUGUUUGAUGACCCGUUUAAAAUGUGAUUUCCACGUUUCUUUUGUCUGAAGUUUUCAGCUCAAAUCUUUCCACAUGCUAUUAAUUUAAAUAUUUCUGAAUGUGCAGUUUGCACUCAAGUUCCAUAAGCUGUUAUGAAAAAAUCUAGAAAAGUCUUGUAAAACUAAAACCUAUUUUUAACCGAAGAACUAUUUUUUGCCUCCCUCACAAAGGCGGCGGAAGGUGAUCGAAUUCCGGUGAUGCGAGCUGUCCUCCGUCAAUAAAUAGGCCUCGCCCGUGCUUUGCGGCAGGCAUUGAGGCAGCCAGCGCAGGGGUUUCUGCUGAAGUGGCAGGCGCAGCUUGAGGAACCCGCAGAUAAGUUUUCUCUCUUUGAAAGACAGAUUAAUACAACUGCUUAAGAAAUGUAGUCAGUAGCUUACUAAGAUUUUGCUUAGCAUUAGGUUCUUAACGUAAUUUGAAUAAGUUAAGAUUUUAAGAGAAAAUAUGAAGAGUUAAAAGUGUAGCGUGAGGAAGGAAAAGGAAAAAAGAUUUCUAAAACAUGACGGAGGUUGAGAUGAAGCUUCUUCAAGAAGUAAAAAAUGGAUUUAAAAGAAAAUUGAGAGAAGGGACACCAGAGCCCUGAAUUAAUGCCAGUAGAAGGGCAGUGCUUUUAGAUUAAAAUGAAGGUGAUUUAAACAGAGCUUAAACGUUGUUUAAAAAGUUGUAGGUGAUUAAAAUAAUUUGAAGGCGAUCAUUUAAAAUGAGAUUAAAUCGAAGGUGAUUAAAAGACCUUGAACUCCAUGACGCAGGGAGAGUUGCGUCAUUUAAAGCCCAGUUAAUCUUAACGCGUUUGCUAAACGCAGACGAAAAAUAGGAAAGAUUAAUUGGGAGUGGUAGGAUGAAACAAUCUGGAGAAGAUUAGAAGUUUGAAGUGGAAAACGAAGACAGAAGUACAGGAAGGCGAAGAAAAGAAUAGAGAAGAUAGGGAAAUUAGAAGAUAAAAACAUACCUUUAGAAGACAAAAGAUAAAUUUAAGCCUGAAAAGUAGGAAGCAGAAGAAAAAAAUUAGACAAGCUAGGAAACAAAAGCAACUAAGGGCAAAAUGUACAAACUUAGAAGAAAACCGGAAGAUAGAAACAAGAUAGAAAAUGAAAAUAUUGUCAAGAGUUUCAGAUAGAAAACGAAAAACAAGCUAAGACAAGUAUUGGAGAGGUAUAGAAGAUAGAAAAAUACAAAGCCAAAAAUUGGAUAAAAUAGCACUGAAAAAAUGAGGAAAUUAUUGGUAAUUUAUUUUAAAAGCCUAUCAAUUUAAAUUCUGGUGGUGCAGAAGUUAGAAGGUAAAGCUUGAGAAGAUGAGGGUCUUUACGUUAUGUAGACCAGAACCAAUUUAGAAGAAUAUUUGAAGCUAGAAGGGGGAAGUCGGUUAAAAAUCACAUCAAAAAGCUGCUAAAAGGACUGGAGUAAUUUUUAAAAACUAAGGCAGAAGGCUUUUGGAAGAGUUAGAAGAAUUUGGAAGGCCUUAAAUACAGUAGCUUAGUUUGAAAAAUUUGAAGGACUUUCGUAACGGAAAUCAAGAUCAAGAGUAAUUACCAACUUAAUAUUUUUGCAUUGGACUUUGAGCUAAGAUGAUAUUUUAAAUCCUGAGGACUAGCAUUAAUUGGCAGCUGACCCAGGUGCUACACAGAAGUGGAUUCAGUGAAUCUAGGAAGACAGCAGCAGACAGGAUUCCAGGAACCAGUGUUUGGUGAAGCUAGGACUGAGGAGCAAGCAGCAGUUCGUGGUGAAGAUAGGAAAAGAGUCCAGGAGCCAGUGCGAUUUGGUGAAGGAAGCUAGGAAGAAGGAAGGAGCGCUAACGAUUUGGUGGUGAAGCUAGGAAAAAGGAUUCCAGGAAGGAGCGAGUGCGAUUUGGUGAUGAAGCUAGCAGGCGGCUUGGCUUGGCAACCACACGGAGGAGGCGAGCGGGCGUUGUGCGUAGAUAGAGGAUCCUAGACCAGCAUGCCAGUGUGCCAAGGCCACAGGGAAAGCGAGUGGUUGGUAAAAAUCCGUGAGGUCGGCAAUAUGUUGUUUUUCUGGAACUUGAGUAUGGUAACCUUUUAUUUACUUUUCUAAUGUACCGGGGGAGUUUCGUACUGAGUUGUAAAGGGAUUUAUAUGGGGAUGUAGGCCGAUUUCCGGGUGUUGUAGGUUUCUCUUUUUCAGGCUUAUACUCAUGACUCUUGUCUGAAGCUUUUGAGGGCAGACUGCCAAGUCCUGGAGGAAUAGUAGAUGGCAAGUUUGUGUUUUUUUUUUUUUUUUUUUUAAUAUACCAAUUUGAAAACCAAAUGAAUUUGAUAGAGCCAAAAUUGAGACAAAAUCUCAGCAAAUCUGUAAGCAGUUUGUAUGUUUAGUUGGGGUAAUGAAGUAUUUCAGUUUUGUGAAUAGAUGACCUGUUUUUACUUCCUCAUCCUAAAUUAGUUUUCUAAUAGAAAUGUGGAGUUUGGUGUGUAACUGAGGGGGGGAAUUUUAAGUAUUUUUUUUGUGGGGUGGGGGCAAAAUAUGUUUUGAGUUCUUUUCCCCAUAGGUCUGACUAAAAUCCUAAAGGCAAAUGACUCAAGGUGUUACAGAAAACAAGAAAAUCCAGUAUCAGGAUAAUCAGAACACCACACAGGUUUACCGUUUAUAGAAACUAGAGCAGUUCUCACGUUAAGGUCUGUGGAGGAGAAGUCUAUUGGAGAAAUGGCUGGUAGUUACUCUUUUUUCCCCCCUCCCUCCUUAAUAAGACUUUAAAAGUGCUUAACCCUUUAAACUUGUUACUUUUUACUUGAAGUAUUUUGGGAUGGUCUUAACAGGGAAGAGAGAGGGUGGGGGAGAAAAUGUUUUUUUCUAAGAUUUUCCGCAGAUGCUAUAGUACUAUUGACAAACUGGGUUAGAGAAGGAGUGUACCGCUGUACUGUUGGCACGAACACCUUCAGGGACUGGAGCUGCUUUUAUCCUUGGAAGAGUAUUCCCAGUUGAAGCUGAAAAAUACAGCACAGUGCAGCUUUGGUUCAUAUUCAGUCAUCUCAGGAGAACUUCAGAAGAGCUUGAGUAGGCCAAAUGUUGAAGUUAAGUUUUCAAAUAAUGUGACUUCUUAAAAGUUUUAUUAAAGGGGAGGGGCAAAUACUGGCAAUUAGUUGGCAGUGGCCUGUUAUGGUUGGGAUUGGGGGGGUGGGUUUAGGUAAUUGUUUAGUUUAUGAUUGCAGAUAAACUCAUGCCAGAGAACUUAGUCUUAGAAUGGAAAAGGUAAAGAAAUCUCAACUUCCAAGUUGGCAAGUAACUCCCAAUCCUUUAGUUUGUUUCCCCUAAUUUUUGAAUUGGGAAGCUGGGGGAAGUUAAAUAGGAGCCACUGGGUGUACCAGUGCAUUAAUUUGGGCAAGGAAAGUAUCAUAAUUUGAUACUGUAUCUGUUUUCCCUCAAAGUAUAGAGCUUGGGGAAGGAAAGUAUUGAAAUGGGGGUUGGUCUGAAGCACUGGGCUGACAUUAGCUACAAUUAUGGGAAAUGCUAAAGUUGUUUGGAUAUGGUAGUGUGUGGUUCUCUUUUGGAAUUUUUUUCAGGUGGUUUAAUAAUAACUUAAAACUACUAUAGAAACUUCAGAGCAAAGGAAGUGGCUUAAUGAUCCUGAAGGGAUUUCUUCUGAUGGUAGCUUUUGUAUUAUCAAGUAAGAUUCUAUUUUCAGUUGUGUGUAAGCAAGUUUUUUUUAGCGUAGGAGAAAUAUUUUUCCGUUGUUCAGCUGCAAAACAAGAUGUUAAGGUAUGCUUCAAAAAUUCUGUAAAUUGUGAUUUUAAAUUUAUGUUUGUAAAUCGUAAUUAAGAAUUGUGAUAGUUCAGCUUGAAUGUCUCUUAGAGGGUGGGCUUUUGUUGAUGAGGGAGGGGAAACUUUUUUUUUUCUGUAGACUUUUUUCAGAUAACAUCUUCUGAGUCAUAACCAGCCUGGCAGUAUGAUGGCCUAGAUGCAGAGAGAACAGCUCCUUGGUGAAUGAUAAGUAAAGGCAGAAAAGAUUAUAUGUCAUACCUCCACUGGGGAAUAAGCAUAACCCUCAGAUUCUUUACUACCGAUGAGAACAUUAUCUGCGUAUGCCAAAAAAAAAAUUUAAGCAAAUGAAAGCUACCAAUUUAAAGUUACGGAAAUCUACCAUUUUAAAGCUAAGUGCUUGUCAAGCUAUAACCACAAAAAUAAUGAAUUGAUGAGAAAUACAAUGAAGAGCCAAUGUCCAUCUCAAAAUACUGCUUUUACAAAAGCAGAAUAAAAGCGAAAUGAAAUGAAAAUCUUACACUACAUUAAUCCUGGAAUGAAAGAAGCCGAAAUAAAUGAGAGAUGAGUUGGGAUCAAGUGGAUUGAGGAGGCUGUGCUGUGUGCCAAUCUUUCGUUUGCCUCAGACAGGUAUCUCUUCGUUAUCAGAAGAGUUGCUUCAUUUCAUCUGGGAGCAGAAAACAGCAAGCAGCUGUUAACAGAUAAGUUUAACUUGCAUCUGCAGUAUUGCAUGUUAGGGAUAAGUGCUUAUUUUUAGGAGCUGUGGAGUUCUUAAAUAUCAACCAUGGCACUUUUUCCUGACCCCUUCCCUAGGGGAUUUCAGGAUUGAGAAAUGUUCCCAUCGAGCCUCUUUAAAAUUAUAUAGGACUUGUUCCUGUGGGCUUCCGUGAUGGGAUAGUACACUUCACUCAGAGGCAUUUGCAUCUUUAAUUUCUUAAAAGCCUCUGACGUGAUUAGUGCCUUAUGCAAAAUUACAGAAAUUUGUUUCGCAUUGAAUCUCUGAAGACUAUGAAAGGAAUAGCAUGAUGUGCUGUUGGAAUCAGAUGUUUUCUUGCUAAAAUUUACAUGUUGUGUUGUGAUGUAAAUUGUGUAGAAAACCAUUAAAUCAUUCAAACUAAUAAACUAUUAUUGUUAGAGAAUGUAUACUUUUAGAAAGCUGUCUCCUUAUUUAAAUAAAAUACUGUUUGUAGUUUAGUGUUGGGGCAAUCUUGGGGGGGAUUCUUCUCUAAUCUUUCAGAAACUUUGUCUGCGAACACUCUUUAAUGGACGAGAUCAGGAUUUGAGCGGAAGAACGAAUGUAACUUUCUUAAGGCAGGAAAGACAAAUUUUAUUCUUCAUAAAGUGAUGAGCAUAUAAUAAUUCCAGGCACAUGGCAAUAGAGGCCCUCUAAAUAAGGAAUAAAUAACCUCUUAGACAGGUGGGAGAUAAUGAUCAGAGUAAAAGGUAAUUACACAUUUUAUUUCCAGAAAGUCAAGGGUCUAUAAAUUGACAGUGACUAGAGUUAAUAAAGUACUUUUUCACAUUUCCAAAGUUUGCAUGUUAACUUUAAAUGCUUACAAUCUUAGAGUGGUAGGCAAUGUUUUACACUAUUGACCUUAUGUAGGCAUUGUGGGGGACCUGUGGGUUUUUAAAGAAUUUUCCUUUGCAGAGGCAUUUCAUCCUUCAUGAAGCUGUUCAGGAUUUUGAAUUGCAUAUGAGUGCUUGGCUCUUCCUUCUGUUCUCCUAACUUCACAGAGAAUGCAGUUGUCUUGACUUCAGGUCUGUCUGUUCUGUUGGCAAGUAAUAAUGCAGUACUGUUCUGAUCCCGCUGCUAUUAGAAUGCAUUGUGAAACGACUGGAGUAUGAUUAAAAGUUGUGUUCCCCAAUGCUUGGAGUAGUGAUUGUUGAAGGAAAAAAUCCAGCUGAGUGAUAAAGGCUGAGUGUUGAGGAAAUUUCUGCAGUUUUAAGCAGUCGUGUUUGUGAUUGAAGCUAAGUACAUUUUGCCGUGCAUUUUUAGGUAAAAUGCUUUUUGUUCAUUUCUGGUGGUGGGGGGUGGGGACUGAAGCCUUUAGUCUUUUCCAGAUGCAACCUUAAAAUCAGUGACAAGAAACAAAUUCCAAACAAGCAACAGUCUUCAAGAAAUUUAACUGGCAAGUGGAAAUGUUUAACAGUUCAGUGAUCUUUAGUGCAUUGUUUUUGUGUGGGUUUCUCUCUCCCCUCCCUUGGUCUUAAUUCUUACAUGCAGGAACACUCAGAACAGCAAACAUAACCUAUGCGAAGGGCCAGAGAAGCCAGACCCAGUAAGAAAAAAUAGUCUAUUUACUUUAAAUAAACCAAACAUUCCAUUUUAAAUGUGGGGAUUGGGAACCACUAGUUCUUUCAGAUGGUAUUCUUCAGACUAUAGAAGGAGCUUCCAGUUGUGAAUUCACCAGUGGACAAAAUGAGGACAACAGGUGAACAAGCUUUUUCUGUAUUUACAUACAAAGUCAGAUCAGUUUUGGGACAAUAGUAUUGAAUAGAAUUCAGCUUUAUGCUGGAGGAAUUGGCAUGUGAGCAAGCUGUGUUGUCGUGGGGGUGGAGGGGUGAGGUGGGCGCUAAGCCUUUUUUUUUAAGAUUUUUCAGGUACCCCUCACUAAAGGCACCGAAGGCUUAAAGUAGGACAACCAUGGAGCCUUCCUGUGGCAAGAGAGACAACAAAGCGCUAUUAUCCUAAGGUCAAGAAAAGUGGUGUCAGCCUCACCUGAUUUUUAUUAGUAAUGAGGUCUUGCCUCAACUCUUUCUGGAGUGAAGCAUCCAAAAGAAUGCUUGAAGUACCCCUGGGCUUCUCUUAACAUUUAAGCAAGCUGUUUUUAUAGCAGCUCCUAAUAAAGCCCAAAUCUCAAGCGGUGCUUGAAGGGGAGGGAAAGGGGGAAAGCGGGCAACCAGUUUUCCCUAGCUUUUCCAGAAGCCUGUUAAAAGCAAGGUCUCCCCACAAGCAACUUCUCUGCCACAUCGCCACCUGUGCCUUUUGAUCUAGCACAGACCCUUCACCCCUCACCUCGAUGCAGCCGGUAGCUUGGAUCCUUGUGAGCAUGAUCCAUAAUCGGUUUCAAGGUAACAAUGGUGCCGAGGUCUUUGGUGGGUUGCACUUUAUUAGAAAAGGCCAUUAAUUUGCCUGCAAAUUGUUAACAGAAGGAUAUUAAAACCACAGCUAAGUAGGUCUAUAUAACACCUGUCCAGUGACUAAAACCAACUUAAACCUGUAAGUGGAGAAAUAACAUCAAGAACUGUAAUGCUGGGUGGGAACAUGUAACUUGUAGACUGGAGAAGAUAGGUAUUUGAGUGGCUGAGAGGGCUGUUGGGUGGGAAUGCAAAAAUUCUCUGCUAAGACUCUUUCAGGUGAACAUAACAGACUUGGCCAAGCUAGCAUCUUAGCGGAACCUGAUCUCCAGUGCUCUUCAGUAGGGUCAUGAAGGUUUUUCUUUUCCUGAGAAAACAACACGUUUUGUUUUCUCAGGUUUUGCUUUUUGGCCUUUUUCUAGCUUUAAAAAAAAAAAGCAAAAGAUGCUGGUGGUUGGCACUUCUGGUUUCCAGGACGGGGUUCAAAUCCCUGCGGCAUCUUUGCUUUGACUACUAAUCUGUCUUCAGGACUCCGUAUUUCUCCAUUUCUCUGCAGGUGCUAGUUCUUGGAGUUUUGAGGAGGUGGGAGGUAACAACAGCACAGUAUCUUUGAACUAUAUACAUCCUUGAUGUAUAAUUUGUCAGAAGCUUGAUUGUAUAUUCAUAUUUACAUGAGAACUUAAUGUAACUGCCUUGUCUUUUUCAGGUAAUACCAUGCAGCUGGUGUUUUUGAGAAGCCCUACUGUUGAAAACUUAACAAUUUUAUGUAAUAAAAAUGGAGAAGCUCUAAA